GCCGAACUAAGGCAUGCGACUUGAGGUUGAGAUGCUUUUGGAAAACAACUCGGGUCCGGCUACGGUUCCGGCUUAGAGGCGUUCAGCCGUUAUCGCUCAGAGGCAGCCUGGCACCACCGCUAUAUCGAGCGAGCGCGCAAACCGUUGCUCUGAUCCCGUGGUUCCUCUCGAUAGGAAGAGCGUAGG